AUGAACCCCUCCUCGGCCCCGGGGCCGGAUGGACUGCCAGUGUCCUUUUUCAAAGCAUUCUCGUAGACCAUCAAACCUGAGGUAAUGGCCCUCUUCGACGAAGUCUUCUCAGGGACCAUGGACCUCGGGCGCCUUAACUAUGGGGUCAUUACUCUCAUCCCCAAAGUCUAGGGUGCGAAUGACAUUCACCAGUUCCAGCCUAUCACUGUCAUCAAUGUGAUAUUCUGGAUCCUGGCCAAAGGGUACGCCAAUAGGAUGACCCUUUUAGCUAACACAAUCACUCAUCCUAAUCAAUCGGCCUUCAUUCACAGGCAAUUUAUUCUGGAUGGAGUGUUGGUUUUCCAUGAGGUCCUUCAUGAAGUCUGCUCCAAACACCACUAG
rnacentral:rRNA from 1 species